AACCCAUGGGACGGGUUCAAGGAAAUAUCUAUUAAUUGUGACUCCUUUGCUAAAACAGCCACUCCCCUUUGCAGCGGGCUUUCCGCCAAGGAGGCAUUUAUCGUCCUUGAGUGGCAGAAUUCCCCUGGGAACACCUGGUUUUCUUUCAGAAGGAAGCUCAGUCUUUCCCUCUGAAGCUGGCCCCUCUGCCAAGCUGACUAUAAUCUGCUUUCCGGGGCCUCCGGUGUCGGAGCAGAGACCAGCUCGGGGAAUGAAGUCCCAGGGCACGCUCACAGGACAAGGCCUGAAGAAUACAGACCCGCUGCUGAGGAUGCUAAGACCACCUUGCUCUCUGGUCUCAGCAAGUCAGGCCCUGGGCUUUCCUUUCUGCUUGUCUAUUCUAUUAAUGCAUCAGUUGCUACAGCAGAAAUAAUGCUCAGGGCUGCCGGAGGAAUUGAACUUUAACCCACCAAACCGUGGAUGAGAGUAAAGGACGCAGUGGGGGAGACAGGAACGGUCAGCUAGGACGUAGACAGGGUGGCCUACAUCUGGCCUGUCCGUGUUCCACCCACCCCAGAAGCCUGGGGGUGGGAGGAGCCAGCCAGGUUGUCCCAGCACAUGAGACACGACCUGAAAAAUGACCAAGUACACAGGUUCCUAUGGCACUUGCCACGGGGGCGGAAUUGAAAUGCAGACAGAAUACAAUUUAGUGGAUUCUCCUCGAAGAGAUUUUCGCCUACGGCUAAUUCCGACUCUUACUUUACAGGCAGGAAGGCAGCUCGGAGAGUUUUAAGUGGUUAACUGAAUCUGCACAAUACACACAGGCCCCAGGCCAUCCAAAUUUGCACCUAUUUGCAAGCCGACCGGGGUGCAAAAUUGUUCCCCCAGUUGCAGCUUGCUCACGGAGUCUUCUUCCUGCUCGACCGGUUCAGCCUAUAUCUCCGGAGCAUCAGUCAUGCUCACUGCUGCGGGAUACAGUAUCCGGCAGACAGUAGUUGCUCGAUAAACGUUUUUGAAAACAUGACAGAGAAGACAGAAGCGUUCUUCUUAAGGGACCCGCAGACCAGUGUGGACGGGGCUACAAACAAACCGUGGCAGUGCGGCGUGCAAGGUGCCGGAGUGCGUGGUGGCAGCUUGGCCUCCAAAGGAAGACAGCGCAGGCUGUCCGGGAGAGGUGGCGGGACGUGGGUGUUGGAGAUCUGCUCAUGCCCUCAGCCGUGUGGGAUCUGGCCCAGAGGAGGAGGUGGCCUGUGGCCGGGACCUGAAGGACAGAUAAUGUAGCAACGUCGGAGACAAAAGGAAGGACAUCUAGGGAGGAGGGAACAGCAUGAGCAAAGGCACGGGCAUGGAAAAGAACGGGUCUGGGGGUAGCUGGUAAAGGGUUUGGCAUGGUUCCAAUACAGGGUAGUGAAACAGAAGGUGAAGACAAAGCGGGAGGGCCUCGAAGCCUCUGUAACCCUGAUUCACCAAAUAGCCCUGAUUCACUAGUCCUAGAAAUGGCACCUGGGGGCUUUCAGAGCUAGCUCGACUGAAGGACUACCUUUGGCUGCAUGACUCAGCCUGACAACGUGUUCAACUCAGCCAUUCACCAUAAAUCCCGGAUGGAAAACAACCCUGGCCUCGUUUUCUAUAAAAUUCCCCCAUGAGGCGCCUGGAUGGCUCGGUCGGUUCAGCAUUUGACUCUUGAUUUCGGCUCAGGUCAUGAUCUCACAGUUCAUGAGUUCAAGCCCUGCAUCGGGCUCUGCGCUGAAUGUGUAGAGCCUGCUUGGGAGUCUCUCUCUCUCCCCCUCUCUCGGCCCCCUCUCCCGCUUGUGCUCUCUCUCUCUCUCUCUCAAAAUAAAUAGUCUUUAAAAAAUACA
rnacentral:lncRNA from 1 species